rnacentral:rRNA from 1 species
UACAGAGGUCUCAAGCGUUGUUCGGAUUCAUUGGGCGUAAAGGGUGCGUAGGUGGUGGGGUAAGUCAGGUGUGAAAUCUCGGGGCUCAACCCCGAAACUGCACUUGAUACUGCCUUGCUCGAGUACUGGAGAGGAGAUUGGAAUUUACGGUGUAGCAGUGAAAUGCGUAGAUAUCGUAAGGAAGACCAGUGGCGAAGGCGAAUCUCUGGACAGUUACUGACACUGAGGCACGAAGGCCAGGGGAGCAAACGGG